AGUGAACGCUGGCGGUAGGCCUAACACAUGCAAGUCGAACGGCAGCACAGUAAGAGCUUGCUCUUACGGGUGGCGAGUGGCGGACGGGUGAGGAAUACAUCGGAAUCUACUUUUUCGUGGGGGAUAACGUAGGGAAACUUACGCUAAUACCGCAUACGACCUGCGGGUGAAAGCAGGGGAUCUUCGGACCUUGCGCGAUUGAAUGAGCCGAUGUCGGAUUAGCUAGGUGGCGGGGUAAAGGCCCACCAAGGCGACGAUCCGUAGCUGGUCUGAGAGGAUGAUCAGCCAGACUGGAACUGAGGCACGGUCCAGACUCCUACGGGAGGCAGCAGUGGGGAAUAUUGGACAAUGGGCGCAAGCCUGAUCCAGCCAUACCGCGUGGGUGAAGAAGGACUUCGGGUUGUAAAGCCCUUUUGUUGGGAAAGAAAAGCAGCGGGUUAAUACCCCGCUGUUCUGACGGUACCCAAAGAAUAAGCAACGGCUAACUUCGUG
rnacentral:rRNA from 1 species